ACAAGUGCAGUCCUUCAACCACUGCUGGUGUCAAGUGCAGGAAAAUAACAAGGGGCUCACAGAUUUUUUACAGAGCAGCCGAGACAGCAUAAUGCUGGAUUGUAACUCUGUUGUUACAGUGUCUUUCACCAAGCACAGCUGUUCCGGGGACGGCCACGUGCUGUCUUUUUGCCUGUUUGCUACGGUCGACACGGUGGAGGCAGGUCGUGACAUUGCACGGACGGCUGGACACCGAAGCGACGCAGGCUGACCAUCAACCUUCUCAAGGGUGACCCAUCUUCAGCCUCCUGAGUACGCUGAAGGCAUCAUACUCACCUAGCCAUGCCUGGAGGAGUUCUGGAUGUCUCAGUGGAAAUCUGCGGGAGACAACGAGGUCGGACUGUCAAAACACCGAAACAAUGCUGUCUUUCAAUAAAGCAAAUACAUAUUUGUGCAUUUCUAA